rnacentral:rRNA from 1 species
UUUAAUUAAGAGUUUGAUCCUGGCUCAGGACGAACGCUGGCGGCACGCUUAACACAUGCAAGUCGAACGAGAGAAGAGAAGCUUGCUUUUCUGAUCUAGUGGCGGACGGGUGAGUAACACGUGAGCAAUCUGCCUUUCAGAGGGGGAUACCGAUUGGAAACGAUCGUUAAUACCGCAUAACAUAAUUGAACCGCAUGAUUUGAUUAUCAAAGAUUUAUCGCUGAAAGAUGAGCUCGCGUCUGAUUAGCUAGUUGGUAAGGUAACGGCUUACCAAGGCGACGAUCAGUAGCCGGACUGAGAGGUUGAUCGGCCACAUUGGGACUGAGACACGGCCCAGACUCCUACGGGAGGCAGCAGUGGGGAAUAUUGCACAAUGGAGGAAACUCUGAUGCAGCGAUGCCGCGUGAGGGAAGAAGGUUUUAGGAUUGUAAACCUCUGUCUUCAGGGACGAAAAAUGACGGUACCUGAGGAGGAAGCUCCGGCUAACUACGUGCCAGCAGCCGCGGUAAUACGUAGGGAGCGAGCGUUGUCCGGAAUUACUGGGUGUAAAGGGAGCGUAGGCGGGAUCGCAAGUCAGAUGUGAAAACUAUGGGCUUAACCCAUAAACUGCAUUUGAAACUGUGGUUCUUGAGUGAAGUAGAGGUAAGCGGAAUUCCUAGUGUAGCGGUGAAAUGCGUAGAUAUUAGGAGGAACAUCAGUGGCGAAGGCGGCUUACUGGGCUUUAACUGACGCUGAGGCUCGAAAGCGUGGGGAGCAAACAGGAUUAGAUACCCUGGUAGUCCACGCCGUAAACGAUGAUUACUAGGUGUGGGGGGACUGACCCCUUCCGUGCCGCAGCAAACGCAAUAAGUAAUCCACCUGGGGAGUACGACCGCAAGGUUGAAACUCAAAGGAAUUGACGGGGGCCCGCACAAGCAGUGGAGUAUGUGGAUUAAUUCGAAGCAACGCGAAGAACCUUACCAGGUCUUGACAUCGUAUGCAUAGCUCAGAGAUGAGUGAAAUCUCUUCGGAGACAUAUAGACAGGUGGUGCAUGGUUGUCGUCAGCUCGUGUCGUGAGAUGUUGGGUUAAGUCCCGCAACGAGCGCAACCCUUACUGUUAGUUGCUACGCAAGAGCACUCUAGCAGGACUGCCGUUGACAAAACGGAGGAAGGUGGGGAUGACGUCAAAUCAUCAUGCCCCUUAUGACCUGGGCCUCACACGUACUACAAUGGCUGUCAACAGAGGGAUGCAAAGCCGCGAGGUAGAGCGAACCCCUAAAAGCAGUCUUAGUUCGGAUUGUAGGCUGCAACCCGCCUACAUGAAGUCGGAAUUGCUAGUAAUCGCAGAUCAGCAUGCUGCGGUGAAUACGUUCCCGGGCCUUGUACACACCGCCCGUCACGCCAUGGGAGUCGGUAACACCCGAAGCCUGUAGUCUAACCGCAAGGAGGACUGCAGUCGAAGGUGGGAUUGAUGACUGGGGUGAAGUCGUAACAAGGUAGCCGUAUCGGAAGGUGCGGCUGGAUCACCUCCUUUCUA